rnacentral:rRNA from 1 species
UACGUAGGGUGCGAGCGUUGUCCGGAAUUAUUGGGCGUAAAGGGCUCGUAGGCGGUUUGUCGCGUCGGGAGUGAAAUCAUCUGGCUUAACUGGGUGCUUGCUUUCGAUACGGGCAGACUAGAGGUAUGCAGGGGAGAACGGAAUUCCUGGUGUAGCGGUGAAAUGCGCAGAUAUCAGGAGGAACACCGGUGGCGAAGGCGGUUCUCUGGGCAUGAUCUGACGCUGAGGAGCGAAAGCUAGGGGAGCGAAUGGG